CCCCCGAUGGUGUAGUUGGAUAUCACGUUCGGCUGUAAUGGGAACAUAUAACCGAAAGGUCACCGGCUCGAUUCCGGUUCGGGGGA
rnacentral:tRNA from 1 species